CCGAGUUAUACAACUCCCAAACCCCUGUGAACUUACCUAUAACGUUGCUUCGGCGGGAACCGACGGCCCCGUAACACGGGCCGCCCCCGCCAGAGGACCCCCUAACUCUUGUUAUUUAUAUGUUUCUCUGAGUAAAACAAGCAAAUAAAUUA
rnacentral:misc_RNA from 1 species